UGACGAUAUUAUGCAGCAUGGCAGUGAC
rnacentral:piRNA from 2 species